CAAGUCAGAAACUUUAAGGCUUUAAAGGAGGUGCUAGUUGCUACAAGAGAAGAAGCAGGCAAAACCCACAAGCUAGUUCCCAUUCUACUCUCUGGACACAGCACAUCCUGAAGACAGAGUGAGAAAGCAGAGAAAGACCACACUGUGGGGAGACUGGUCCAUGCUCCUGAGGGGCCGAAAUACAGAAGGGGCGGGUGAGAGUACUGUGACCCAUGACAGAGACUGUGCCUUCUGGGCAGCAGGGAGACACACUCCACCAUAGGAAGGUCGGAAAGAGGAAGAGACAGCACGUUCACGACAGGAGCGGGGCUUUUCCAAUCAGGACUCCAACCAAUACUGGGCUACUGUGAGGUGAUAAAACCUAGGUCGCUUGGAGUUGGCCCAUGGUCAGGUGCAACGGCUCAUGGGAGCUCUGGAUGGGCCAGAACACGGACAGUCUGAGGAUGCAAAGUUCUGAGAGUGCCUGUCCCGCGUGCAGCUCAACCCAAGCCAACUGGAAAGAAAAUAGCAUGAUUCCCCAGCAUGAUAGAUGGGAAACCAAAUGUGCUGGCAGUCAUAUAUCUAAAGGAAUAUUCAUAGCAAGAUAUUGGUACAGUAGGAUCAAAGGUGAAUUUUUUUAAACCUUUUAAAUUAAUGCUUUGUUCCAUUUUUCAAAUAUUCUUUAAAUACUCUGUACUACUUUUAUACUGAAAAAUACAUAAAAAAGCUAAAUACAUAAAAAAUACAUAAAAAGCUAACGUAGACUUAAUAAAAAAACAACCACCACCACAACAAUACUAGUAAUUUUCUUUUCAGAUAGUGCCAGGCCCUGUUUGUUCCAAGCACUUUACGUGCAUCAGCUCAUGUAAUCCUCUCUACAAUUCCAUGAGGUAAAUCUCAUUGUUAAUCUGUUUUACAAACAAGGAAGCCAUAACUUUAUAUAGAAAAACUUAUUUAAGUUCACAUCCUGAUGAGCACAGGUGGU